GCCCAGAUAGCUCAGUCGGUAGAGCAGAGGACUGAAAAUCCUCGUGUCGGUGGUUCGAUUCCACCUCUGGGCACCA
rnacentral:tRNA from 2 species